GUCUACCGCAUACCACCCUGAAUACACCUGAUUUCAUCUCAUCUCAGAAGAUAAGCAGGGUUGGGCCUCCUUAGUACUUGGAUGGGAGAAACCAAGAUGUAGGCA
ensembl:rRNA 5S_rRNA 5S ribosomal RNA